rfam:Solanum lycopersicum cultivar Heinz 1706 chromosome 5, whole genome shotgun sequence.
CACUCUCGACAGCGAAUAUCUCGGCUCUCUCAUCGAUGAAAAAUGUUGCGAAAUGUGAUACUUGGUGUGAAUUGCACAAUCCUUUGAACCAUCGUGUCUUUGAACUCAAGUUGUGCUCGAAGCUAUUAGGCCGAGGGCACAUCUGCUUGGGUGUCA